AGUAUUUUGACUAUACAAAGGUAUUGAAAUAAGACUUUAAUUGAGUGCUAAGAGAAUGGAAUUUCAUAAAAUUUCUUUUUUAAUUUUAAAAAUUGAAAUUAAUUUUAUAUGUGAAGAAACAAUAAUAAAAAUUAAGGACAAGAAGACCCUAAGAAUUUUAAAAAUUUCAAUAAAAUGCUGUAUUUUAUUGAAAUUUUUUAAUUGGGGCGAUUAUUAAAUAUUAAAAACUUUAAUUUUUUUAAAAAAGAACCAAUAAUAUUGGUUAUUUGAAAAAAUACUCUAGGGAUAACAGCGUAAUAAUUUUUGAUAGUUCUUAUAGACAAAAUAGUUUGCGACCUCGAUGUUGGAUUAGGAUUCUUUUUUAAUGAAGAAGUUAAAAAAAGAAGUUUGUUCAACUUUUAAAAUCCU
rnacentral:rRNA from 1 species